GAUGAACGCUGGCGGCGUGCUUAACACAUGCAAGUCGAACGAUGAAGCCCAGCUUGCUGGGUGGAUUAGUGGCGAACGGGUGAGUAACACGUGAGUAACCUGCCCUUAACUCUGGGAUAAGCCUGGGAAACUGGGUCUAAUACCGGAUAGGAGCGCCUACCGCAUGGUGGGUGUUGGAAAGAUUUAUCGGUUUUGGAUGGACUCGCGGCCUAUCAGCUUGUUGGUGAGGUAAUGGCUCACCAAGGCGACGACGGGUAGCCGGCCUGAGAGGGUGACCGGCCACACUGGGACUGAGACACGGCCCAGACUCCUACGGGAGGCAGCAGUGGGGAAUAUUGCACAAUGGGCGAAAGCCUGAUGCAGCGACGCCGCGUGAGGGAUGACGGCCUUCGAGUUGUAAACCUCUUUCAGUAGGGAAGAAGCGAAAGUGACGGUACCUGCAGAAGAAGCACCGGCUAACUACGUG
rnacentral:rRNA from 1 species